UUUAAAAUAAAAAUAUAAAAAAAGUGCAAAAAAAUACAAAAGAAUAAAAGACUUGGUGCCCGAUUCGUGCGUGUCGAUGUUUGAGUGCUUAAACUGGUUAAUGGCAGGGCCCCGGAAAAUCCCCCAUUGAGCAAGCCAUCCCCAGAGCCCCACAAAAGUUGCUGAAAGUCUCGAAAAUAGAGCAUACUGCCACAAGAGUUACGUGAAAAUUUCCACUCCAACAACCAACAACAACAAAAAACAGAGAAUCUGUUGAUUCCUCCCCUGCAACCACAUUGGAUCCCAGUCGCUGCAUAUAAUGUCCUCAAAAUGUGCUUUUCACAUUGCAUUCGUGUCGAUCAUUUUCAUCAUCAUCGUAAAUGGUUACGCAAAAGAUAUUUCUGGAGUUAAAAGAGGUCAUGAACGACUUAAUGAAUACAUAUCCCACUACGAAACACUCGACUAUGAUCACGAGCACAUCCGAGCUAGUCACAACAGGGCGCGACGAUCAGUGACCAAAGAUCAUUAUGUACAUUUAAAGUUUGCAGCACAUGGAAGAGACUUCCAUCUUAGAUUAAAACGUGAUUUAAAUACAUUUAGUGAUAAGUUAGACUUUUAUGAUAGCAACGGCCCCAUUGAUGUCUCCACGGAUCAUAUCUAUGCGGGCGAAGUGAUAGGGGAUCGUAAUAGUUUUGUAUUUGGUUCCAUACACAAUGGGGUAUUCGAGGGUAAAAUUAUAACGGAACGUGAUGCCUAUUAUGUUGAACAUGCCAAACAUUAUUUUCCCACAAAUCGCACUGCGAUAUCAUCCACAACGGAGUCACAGCUCACAGUCACUCCAAGGAGCGCCGCAAGCACAGGAGCACGGCCUCUGGCCUCUCGCAACUCCAACAAAUACACAAAUAACUACAACAGAACUGCCGUUGAUAAUAAGACAGAAAACUUCAUAAAGAAAAUUGCUGAAUCCACAACGACGAGCCCUGAGCUGUCUGCGGAGUCGUCCUCUCAUACAACAUUCCCACCCACAACAACAACAACAACGGAACACGUCGAGGAGCACCAACAGCAGCAGCAGCAGGAUAAUGCUGAGGGAGAACUUGAUUUUCACUCCAUUAUCUACAAGGAGUCACAUGUUGAGGAUGCCUACGAAAAUGUGCGCGAAGGUCACGUGGGCGGCUGCGGCAUCACGGAUGAGGUCUCACAAUGGAUGGAGAAUAUACAAAAUUCAGCUGUCGAAGAGCUGCCGGAGCCCAUGUCAAAGGACUACCAAAAGCUCCACCGGAAGCAGCUGCACAAAAAGGCUGCUCCACAGCAGCAGCAGCAGCCACAGCAGCAGCAGCAGCAACAGCAUCCACCGAAGAAAUACAUGAGCGGCGAUGAUGAUUUCAAAUUCCCCCAUCAGAAGUACUCGAAGGAGGCCAACUUUGCUGACGGUGCAUUCUACGAUCCGUCCACGGGACGUCGAUUGGGCUCAUCCGCCAAUGUGGGCGACUGGCAUGAGUUUGUCCAUGAGCGGGUGCGUCGGGCCAGCGAUGGCGGCAGCGGCUCUUCCGGCGGCUCGGGACCGGCACGAGGUCGAGAGGACAACAAGAAUACCUGUUCGCUCUACAUACAGACGGAUCCAUUGAUUUGGCGCCACAUACGCGAGGGAAUUGCCGACCAUGAUCGCAGCCGAAAGUAUGAGGUGGAUGUGAAAACGCGCGAGGAAAUCACAUCGCUGAUUGCACACCAUGUGACGGCCGUUAAUUACAUUUACCGCAACACAAAGUUCGAUGGACGUACGGAGCAUCGGAACAUACGCUUUGAGGUUCAACGCAUUAAAAUCGAUGAUGAUUCCGCCUGCCGCAACUCGUACAAUGGUCCACACAAUGCCUUCUGCAAUGAGCACAUGGAUGUGUCGAAUUUUUUGAAUCUACACUCGCUGGAGGAUCACUCCGACUUCUGUCUGGCCUAUGUCUUCACCUACAGAGACUUCACCGGCGGCACUUUGGGCCUGGCCUGGGUGGCCAGCGCUUCGGGCGCCUCGGGCGGCAUCUGUGAGAAGUACAAGACCUACACGGAGACGGUGGGUGGACAGUAUCAGAGCACCAAGCGUUCCCUGAACACGGGCAUCAUCACAUUCGUCAACUACAACAGUCGCGUGCCGCCCAAAGUGUCACAGCUGACGCUGGCCCACGAGAUUGGACAUAAUUUUGGAUCACCUCACGACUACCCGCAGGAAUGCCGUCCGGGUGGACUCAAUGGCAACUUUAUUAUGUUCGCCAGCGCCACAUCUGGGGAUCGGCCGAACAACUCCAAGUUCUCGCCCUGCUCCAUACGCAACAUAUCCAACGUGCUGGAUGUGCUGGUGGGCAACACGAAGCGGGACUGCUUCAAGGCGUCGGAGGGCGCCUUCUGUGGCAACAAGAUCGUGGAGUCGGGCGAGGAGUGCGACUGCGGCUUCAAUGAGGAGGAGUGCAAGGACAAGUGCUGCUAUCCGCGGCUGAUCAGCGAGUACGAUCAGUCGCUGAACUCCAGUGCCAAGGGCUGCACGCGGCGCGCCAAGACGGAGUGCUCGCCCUCGCAGGGUCCCUGCUGCCUGGCCAACUCGUGCACCUUUGUGCCGACGCGUUACCACCAGAAGUGCAAGGAGGAGACCGAGUGCAGCUGGUCGAGCACCUGCAACGGCACCACGGCGGAGUGCCCCGAGCCACGGCAUCGGGAUGACAAGACCAUGUGCAACAAUGGCACCGCCCUGUGCAUUCGCGGCGAGUGCAGUGGCUCGCCCUGCCUGCUCUGGAACAUGACCAAGUGCUUCCUCACCUCGUUCACGCUGCCGCACGCGGACAAGCGUAAGCUGUGCGACCUGGCCUGCCAGGACGGCAACGACACCUCCACCUGCCGCAGCACCAGCGAGUUUGCCGAGAAGUACAACAUCCAGAAGGGCGGCAUCAGCCUCCAGCCCGGCUCGCCCUGCGACAACUUCCAGGGCUACUGCGACGUCUUUCUCAAGUGUCGCGCCGUCGAUGCGGAUGGGCCGCUGGUGCGGCUGAAGAAUCUCCUGCUGAAUCGCGAGACCCUGCUCACGGUGGCCGAGUGGGUCACCGAGAACUGGUACUUGGUGGUGCUAAUGGGCGUGGGCUUCAUUGUGGUCAUGGGCGCGUUCAUCAAGUGCUGUGCCGUGCACACGCCCAGCUCCAAUCCUAAGAAGCGUCGCGCUCGUCGCAUCAGCGAAACGCUGCGGGCACCCAUGAACACGCUGCGAAGAAUGCAGCGGCAUCCGCAUCAGCGCGGUGCCGGGCCACGGAGCAUCCCACCGCCUGCCCACGAGGCCCAGCACUAUCCCAGAGGAGGGGAUGGGCGCGGCGGAGGUCGCCACGGAGGCUCUCGAUCGCAUCACCAGGCGCAUCCGCAUGACUGGGAUCGCCAUCAGGGCGGGCAUUCCAUCGUGCCGCUGCCCACUGGCGGCGGUCAUGCCAGUCGCAGCUCCGCCGCGAAUCAGGCGAGACGCAGCGAUGGACGCGGCACGCGCUCCACGAGCAGCGGUAGGCCCGUCGUGGCGGCAGCAGCCGUAGCAGGAGCUGGCGAUGGAGGAAGCCGAGCACAUGGCGGGUAUGGAGCUGAGCAGGCGAUACCGGGUUCCAUUGGUGGUGGUGUCCAGGCGGCCAUUAGCAGCGGCGGUGUGGUGGCGCGGGCCCAGCUGCCGCUGCCAUUGCCGCCAGUCAAUGCACUGCAGCAGCAGCAACAACAACAACAGCAAGCACUCUCACCGCAACAGGCACAGCCAGCGUUCUAUGCGCCGAAAGAAUUACCACCACGCAAUAAGUCCCGAUCAUCACGUACCAACAACACCACCACACCACAAUCCACCUCGGCAGCAGCAGUGGCAGCCGGCACAGGGGCGGGUGCGGGUGCGGGUGCGGGGGCGGCCAGUAGCGGCAAGAGCAGUAAGGGCAGCAAGAGUGCCAAAGCCAAAGACACAAAGCAACACAGCGGCAGUCGCAGCAGCAGCAAAGAGAAGGCCGCCAAGCCAGUGCGGCGCAAUAUCGUUUAUUAGCGCGGAAAGAGCUGAGCGGAGCACACGAUCACACACAUGGCCAUAACCUGAAGACAUACAUUGAAAACCCCUAGAAAGACAAAUCCCGAACCCAACGAAUGCCCGCCCGUGCGCUUACUCAAACUGCCUUCCCCCCGUCAUCGAAGUUGCUUCCCCACCACCACAAAAAAACACGAUAAAGACCAUAAAUGAUACAAACAUUUUGACAGAAGCAAUUGCCGUCGCGCCGCCGCUGCUACAAGUAAGCUUUAGUCGGCCAACAUCGCUGCACGAACAGCAGCAGCAGCAGCAUCAGCAGCUACAGCAGCAGCAGCAACUGGAGCCACAGCAACAGCAGCAGCAGCA